UUUUUUUUUUUUGCUUUUUAGGGCUGCACCUACAGCAUCAUGGAAGACCCAGGCUAGGGGUCCAAUCAGAGCUACAGAUGCUGGCCACAGCCACAGCAACAAGGGAUCCAAGCCAUGUGUGACCUACACCACAGCUCACGGUAAUGCCAGAUCCCCGACCCACUGAUCGAGGCCAGGGUUCAAACCCGAAUACUAGUCAGAUUCAUUUCCACUACGCCACAACAGGAACUCCAAGAUUGGCCAUUUUGAAACUAAUAUACAUGAGGAAAUUAUGGCAGUUGUUAUGAAUUCCUGCAGAUCACUGAGAUGGCCAUAAAUACAUCUACUUAUAAAUAUGAAUGUAUUUUUAUAUGUCAACAUACACAUACAGAUAAACAUAUAUUUCAAAGCUCUAUGUUAUAUGAUUUUUUGCUGUUGUUGUUAAUUUUCUUUUGUCUUUUUAGGUCCGCACCCAUGGCAUAUGGAGCUCCUGAGCUUUUCACAGAUUUUAAAUGCAAACAUUUGUAAAAUGAAUGAAGAGGAAAAGCAAGAGGAGGAAAAGGGAAGAAGCAGAGGAAGAGAUGAGAAAUGUCCCUGGGAUAAACAGUGCGAUAACUUGGUGCCUUCUGAAAAUGUUAUGUAACAGAAAUGAUUCAUGUUUUUUGUUUUGUUUUGCCUAUGGCAUUUGGAGGUUCCCAGGCAAGGGAUCGAACCCACACCACAGCCAUAACAACACCAGAUUCUUAACCCACUGAGCCACCCGGGAAUUCCUGAAGUGACUCGUAUUGACAACUAGAGAUUGGACUCGUUCUUUCAUGUAAUGAUUCUGUUAAGUACCAACUAGGCUAGAAAUGCCUUAGUAGGGAAAGCACAGAGAUUGGAGGCAGGAGAUCUGGUUCAAAUCCUGAACUGACCCUUAGAGUUCUCUAAGGACUCAGUUUCCUCAUGUUCCAAGUACAAGAAAGAAAGUGACAAGUGAUUCAAACCUCAACAUUUAAUGUGAGGAUUAAAUGCUAUAAUGAAGGAAUGAGAAUAGUGCCUGCUGUAAAUUAGUCUUCAAGAAAUAUUAUUCCUUCCCUUGCCUCAUGAGAAGUGGUAAAUUCUUAACCAUGCAUUUUCUUGUUUGUUUUAUGUAUAGACAGAAAAAGGCAAGAAACUGUCCUGAGUGUUUUUGAUCUGUGAUUUGGAGAAAAUAUGUUUUCAGUCAAAUUAUCUUUGGUAACUGUACUAUACUGGCUAGUGAGAGCAUUAGUUUUCAUACUUUUAUUUAGGAGUAGUAAAAUAGAAUUCUUUUUUUUUUUUCUUUUUGGGGCCAUACCUGUGCCAUAUGGAAGUUCCCAGGCUAGGGGUCAAACUGCAGCUGCAGCCACCAGCCUACGCCACAGCCACGGCAGUGCCAGAUCCGAGCCAUGUCUGUGACCUACACCAAAGCUCAGGGAAAUGCCAGAUCCUUAACCCACUGAGCAAGGACAGGGAUUGAACCCACAUCUUCACAGACACUAGUCAGGUUCUUAACUUGCUGAGCCAUAAUGGGAACUCCAAUAAAAUAGAAUUCUAUACAUCAAUAAAUAUAAGCAAAAUUUCCACUGUGGAAUUCUAACAUAUUUAAACUUUCUUAUUCCUAUCCUCUUAAUUAAAUUUUUUCAGUCAGUACUGAGGCAGAGACUAAAGUUUCCCUGUUGCCUUUUUGGAAGAGCUACAAAAAUAUCCUUAAAAACAUGCUAAAAUAUUAUUUGUGCCUUCUAUAAAUUACUGUUUAAUAUUAAUUAUUUUAGGUAUUAAAUAACGCAAAAACUUUGUUUAUUCAAUCUGCUUUUUAUGUUUCUAAGAUAAACUUUUUAUAAUCUAUUCUAUAAUUUUAUUUUCACUAAAUUGUAAUACUCUUAACUUUGUUUCACUUAAUCAUUCAGUAUGUUGAUAAAGUCAGGAAAACAGGAACAAUUAAGUUUUCCCACAGAGGAAAUUUAAUGUAAAGAAAUGGUUAAAUUGUGGUAUAUAUAUGCAAUGGAAUACUACUCAGCCAUGAAAAGACAAACUAAUGUCAUUUAUAGUAACAUGAAUGGAACUAGAGACUCUCAUACUAAGUGAAGUAAAUCAGAAAGAAAAAGAUAAGUACAAUAUGAUAUCACUUUUGUGAAAUCUAAAAUAUGACACAGAUGACCUUAUCUGCAAAACAGAUAUAGAUCACAGCCAAGGAGAGCAGACUUGUGGUUCCCAGGGGGAAGGGAUGGGAUGGACGGGCAGUUUGGGGUUUCUAGAUACAAACUGUUAUAUUUGGAACGGAUGGGCAAUGAGCCCCCAGUGUACAGAACUGGGAACUGUGCAUUGAUUGGGUCACUUUGCUGUACAACAGAAAUUGAAGAAACACUGUUAAUCAACUAUAAUUUUUUUUAAAAAUUUAAAUGUAUUGAAAGACCAAGAAAGGAUAUAAUAGGAAAACACAAACAUUAAUACAUGCACGAAGCAGGAAUUUCCCCCAUGACUGGGACAACAAAGGCCAAAGGUUAGGGUUACAGAACUGCAAAUCUUAAAGCAGGAUUCCUGUAGUGUCAGCAUUCAUGCUUCUGAGUAGAAGGUGCCCCUGGGCCUGUGCCGGCCUCACAGGAGCCCAGACCUGCAACCAGACCUGUGAAGAAAUCAAACCCACCAGGAAGAAGUGCUGCUGACAUGGCUGGUGCUGGUAUUUCGGAAGCCUGGAGAGGAGUCCCACAGGGGGAGGGCCUCCGGCAGCUCAGGAGAAGGUUGCGCCCUCUGAUCCUGGAAACCCUGAGGGAAGCAACUGCAUUGCUUCUGGAAAUAAAGAAAGAAGCUAGAGCUUAGAACCAAUAGCUGCUGCUGGAAUAAAGGAGUUGGAAUAACUGGAGUUGGGUGACACUGACAACAGCCAUCAACUAAGAAGGAUUAAAUCCUCUCUUCCUUGCUUGCCCUAUGCCUCUCAGGCUUCCAACUCACAGAAUCCAAACAGAAAGUCAGCAGACAGCUCAAUGUGGUUUGUGGAUCCCAGCCUGAGUAACAGAGAGAAAAGAAAUAAGAAUAGACUUGGACUUCACAGCAGUAGCUUUGUAACAGACAGAGGGACAUUUCAUAAGUGUAGCGAAAUCUUUCUCAUCAUCGGUUUUGUCCAGCAAAUUCUGUUAUCCAGGUAUCAACAUGUGCUUAUCUUGUAAUAGUCCAUCAACAAAGAAUUUAGUAUCUGGUGUUCAUGGAAGGCCAAUUACUACUGAGGUAUAAUUUUCAAUUCAAUGUUAAAUAUCUUGAUUUAAUACAAUCAGAGAACUGUUGAAUUAUCAUUAUUUUUUCCAUUGAUUACCUAAAUAUGAGGAUGUAGUGAUAAAAUCAGCAUUAAUUCUGAUAAAUUAUUACUUUUUAUCAAAACUUGAAAUAUUCAUUGAUAAGAGAUAUCUUCUUUUAGGAUUCUAUAAAAUGCUGUUAUUUGUUAUUAAUUAUUAUGAUUAAUAAAUUAUUAUUACCUACUGCUCAAAUACUCUGCUUUGGCAUUUAUUCACACAGCAGAGUCCUACAUCCUGAAUCUGCCCAAUGUUGAAAUCUAACUCCUCUAUUUCCUGCAUCCAAUGGUGGACAACAUGACAGUCAUUUAAUUAGAUACAUAAAUAUUUGAUUUUACUAUACAAAGAGAAUAGCCCUUCAUGUUGCCAAACUUUCCUGCUUCUGUAAUCAUUUCUGUUCCUGAGGCCUCUCUUCAGAACCUGAAGCUGCAUUUGUUUUAAAGUUUCACUUAAAUCACAAUUUUCUCCCUGAGUCUACACAGAACACAAAGCACAUUUGGAAAGACAGGAAAUCUGAGGAACAUAGUAUAAAACUAACCCAAUAACCAGAGCAGUCUAAUUUUUCCCAAAGGAUCUGUGAAUCUAUAUCCUACUGUACGGCAGCUCUCACGUUUUCAUUUUCCUUCCAGGGUUUCCAAUAAUUAUGUCUUCGAAAAGUGUUUUUGCCAGGAUGGAUGGCUGCAGAACUGAGUCUGGGAAAUCAACAAUCCCGCCUUCCGGGUAAAAGGAAUGAAGAAAGAAGAGUGAGUUCUUCAAAGUUGUUCUUUCCUAUUCUUAUAAGUUUUUUCACCCUUCAAAAAUAAAUGCUUUUAUCGUCUUUGUUUUAUUAAUAAUGGGAGACUAAGAAUAAUAAAAACUGUAAAGUAGAAAACUGGGUAAGGAAAGGGAAAGACUUAAAAUACCUCAACCAACCUUAUUCUAAUGAAGUUUUGGUUUGUUUGUUCCUUUUUGUCUUUUGUCUUUUUAGGGCAGUACCCGCAGCAUAUGGAGGUUCCCAGGCUAGGGUCGAAUCUGAGCUGCCACUGCUGGCCUACACCACAGCCACAAUAACGCAGGAUCCGAGCCAUGUCUGCAACCUGCAGCACAGCUCACCACAAUACUGGAUCCCUGACCCACUGAGCGAGGCCAGGGAUGGAAACCACAACCUCAUUGAUACUAGUCAGGUUCGUUAACCUCUGAGGCACGGUAGGAACUCCCUAAUGAAAAUAUUAAGUAGUCAAACUAGAAUGAUACAAUGUUUUAUUGAAAUAGAAUUGAUUUUGCAAUAUUAUAUGAAGUUCAGGUAUAUAGUACAGUGAUACAGUAUCUUUACAGAUUAUACUCCAUUAACAUUUAUUAUAAUAGCUAUAAUUCGCUAUACUAUACAAUCAAUAUAGCCUCAUUGUUUAUCUAUUUCAUACAUAGUGGUUGGUGUCUCUUAAUUCCAUACCCUAAUUUUUCCCUCCCCCUCUUUCUCCCUUCUGAUAACCACUAGUCUGUUCUCUAUAUCUGCGACAUUGUUUCUGUUUUGUGUAUACAUUCGUUUGUUUUAUUUGUAUUAUUUUUAAGAUUCUACAUAUUGGUGAUAUCAAACAGUAUUUGUCUUUUUCUGUCUAACUUAUUUCACUUAGUACAGUAUUCUCCAGGUUCAUCCAUGUUGCUGUAGAUGAAAGAAUUUCAUUCUUUUUAUAGCUAAGUAAUGUGGUCCAGAAUGUAAUGAAUAAACCAUAUCUUAUCUAUCUCUUUGUUGAUAGGCACUUGGGUGGCUUCCAUAUCUUGGCUUUUGCAAAUAGUGCUGCUAUGAACAUUGGAGUGCAUGCAUAUUUUCAAAUUAGUGUUUUUGGUUUUUCCAGAUAUAUACCUAAGAUUGGAAUUGCUGGAUCAUAUGGUAGUUCUAUUUUUAGCUUUUUGAGGAACCUCCAUAUUCUUUUCCAUAGUAGCCAUACCAAUUGGCAUUCCC
rnacentral:lncRNA from 1 species